GAAAUGCGAUACGUAGUGUGAAUUGCAGAAUACCGUGAAUCAUCGAAUCUUUGAACGCAUAUUGCGCUCGAGGCUUCGGCCAAGAGCAUGUCUGCCUCAGCGUCGGGUUAAUAUCACCCCCACUAACACUGGUGGAGUGGAUCUGGUCGUUUCACACUGCUCUAGCAAUGGAGUAGUGUGGAUCGGCUGAAGUUCAGAGGCUAGAUCAAGGACCCGUUAUGGGCCGCAACUGGGUAGGCAGCUUCGGCUCCGUUAUUCUAGUUGUUGGCUUGGGACCUCGGACUCGGCCCUAAACCAGGAAUUAACCCUCUUAUUUUCUCGACCUGAGCUCAGGCAAGAACACCCGCUGAACUUAA
rnacentral:misc_RNA from 1 species